rnacentral:rRNA from 1 species
GAGUUUGAUCCUGGCUCAGAAUGAACGCUGGCGGCAUGCCUAACACAUGCAAGUCGAACGAAGGCUUCGGCCUUAGUGGCGCACGGGUGCGUAACGCGUGGGAAUCUGCCCUCAGGUUCGGAAUAACAGCGAGAAAUUGCUGCUAAUACCGGAUGAUAUCGCGAGAUCAAAGAUUUAUCGCCUGAGGAUGAGCCCGCGUAGGAUUAGCUAGUUGGUGUGGUAAAGGCGCACCAAGGCGACGAUCCUUAGCUGGUCUGAGAGGAUGAUCAGCCACACUGGGACUGAGACACGGCCCAGACUCCUACGGGAGGCAGCAGUGGGGAAUAUUGGACAAUGGGCGAAAGCCUGAUCCAGCAAUGCCGCGUGAGUGAUGAAGGCCUUAGGGUUGUAAAGCUCUUUUACCCGGGAUGAUAAUGACAGUACCGGGAGAAUAAGCUCCGGCUAACUCCGUGCCAGCAGCCGCGGUAAUACGGAGGGAGCUAGCGUUAUUCGGAAUUACUGGGCGUAAAGCGCACGUAGGCGGCUUUGUAAGUUAGAGGUGAAAGCCUGGAGCUCAACUCCAGAAUUGCCUUUAAGACUGCAUCGCUUGAAUCCAGGAGAGGUGAGUGGAAUUCCGAGUGUAGAGGUGAAAUUCGUAGAUAUUCGGAAGAACACCAGUGGCGAAGGCGGCUCACUGGACUGG